AACGAACGCUGGCGGCGUGCCUAACACAUGCAAGUCGAGCGAGAAAGUCUCCGCAAGGGGGCGAGUAAAGCGGCGCACGUGUGCGUAACACGUGGAUAACCUGCCUGGAAGUCCGGAACAACCUUCCGAAAGGAGGGCUAAUACCAGAUAAGACCACGGGGGCUUUGGCUCCUGAGGUAAAAAGAUAGCCUCUGCAUGCAAGCUAUCACUUCCAGAGGGGUCCGCGGCCCAUCAGCUAGUUGGCGGGGUAACGGCCCACCAAGGCUACGACGGGUAGCUGGUCUGAGAGGACGAUCAGCCACACUGGAACUGAGACACGGUCCAGACUCCUACGGGAGGCUG
rnacentral:rRNA from 1 species